rnacentral:rRNA from 1 species
UCUUAAGCUACAGAAACUUUUAUGGGAAUGAGAGUUCACCGUUAGAAGCGAUCCGUGAGCUGGGUUGAGACCGCUAAAAGCAGGUCGUUCCC